GCGUACACGGUGGAUGCCCUGGCAGUCAGAGGCGAUGAAGGGCGUGCUAAUCUGCGAUAAGCGCCGGUAAGGUGAUAUGAACCGUUAUAACCGGCGAUACCCGAAUGGGGAAACCCAGUGUGAUUCGUCACACUAUCAUUAACUGAAUCCAUAGGUUAAUGAGGCGAACCGGGGGAACUGAAACAUCUAAGUACCCCGAGGAAAAGAAAUCAACCGAGAUUCCCCCAGUAGCGGCGAGCGAACGGGGAGGAGCCCAGAGCCUGAAUCAGCAUGUGUGUUAGUGGAAGCGUCUGGAAAGGCGCGCGAUACAGGGUGACAGCCCCGUACACAAAAGCGCAUGUGCUGUGAGCUCGAUGAGUAGGGCGGGACACGUGGUAUCCUGUCUGAAUAUGGGGGGACCAUCCUCCAAGGCUAAAUACUCCUGACUGACCGAUAGUGAACCAGUACCGUGAGGGAAAGGCGAAAAGAACCCCGGCGAGGGGAGUGAAAAAGAACCUGAAACCGUGUACGUACAAGCAGUGGGAGCACCCUUCGGGGUGUGACUGCGUACCUUUUGUAUAAUGGGUCAGCGACUUAUAUUCUGUAGCAAGGUUAACCGUAUAGGGGAGCCGGAGGGAAACCGAGUCUUAAUUGGGCGUUAAGUUGCAGGGUAUAGACCCGAAACCCGGUGAUCUAGCCAUGGGCAGGUUGAAGGUUGGGUAACACUAACUGGAGGACCGAACCGACUAAUGUUGAAAAAUUAGCGGAUGACCUGUGGCUGGGGGUGAAAGGCCAAUCAAACCGGGAGAUAGCUGGUUCUCCCCGAAAGCUAUUUAGGUAGCGCCUCGUGAAUUCAUCUCCGGGGGUAGAGCACUGUUUCGGCUAGGGGGCCAUCCCGGCUUACCAACCCGAUGCAAACUGCGAAUACCGGAGAAUGUUAUCACGGGAGACACACGGCGGGUGCUAACGUCCGUCGUGAAGAGGGAAACAACCCAGACCGCCAGCUAAGGUCCCAAAGUCAUGGUUAAGUGGGAAACGAUGUGGGAAGGCCCAGACAGCCAGGAUGUUGGCUUAGAAGCAGCCAUCAUUUAAAGAAAGCGUAAUAGCUCACUGGUCGAGUCGGCCUGCGCGGAAGAUGUAACGGGGCUAAACCAUGCACCGAAGCUGCGGCAGCGAACGUAUCACCCAAGACAACUUUACGGAGUUGACGAUUGACGGAGCGAAGCGACGUCAAAGCGUUCAUUAAAGUCGAGUUGGCUUA
rnacentral:rRNA from 1 species